ACGAACGCUGGCGGCGUGCCUAAUACCUGCAAGUCGAACGCACUCUCGUUUAGAUUGAAGGAGUUUGCUCCUGAUUGAUAAACAUUUAAGUGAGUGGCGGACGGGUGAGUAACACGUGGGUAACCUGCCCUAAAGUGGGGGAUAACAUUUGGAAACAGAUGCUAAUACCGCAUAAAACCUAACACCGCAUGGUGUAGGGUUGAAAGAUGGUUUCGGCUAUCACUUUAGGAUGGACCCGCGGUGCAUUAGUUAGUUGGUGAGGUAAAGGCUCACCAAGACCGUGAUGCAUAGCCGACCUGAGAGGGUAAUCGGCCACACUGGGACUGAGACACGGCCCAGACUCCUACGGGAGGCAGCAGUAGGGAAUCUUCCACAAUGGACGAAAGUCUGAUGGAGCAACGCCGCGUGAGUGAAGAAGGUUUUCGGAUCGUAAAACUCUGUUGUUGGAGAAGAAUGUAUCUGAUAGUAACUGAUCAGGUAGUGACGGUAUCCAACCAGAAAGCCACGGCUAACUACGUG
rnacentral:rRNA from 1 species